rnacentral:rRNA from 1 species
GUAGGAGGCGAGCGUUAUCCGGAUUCACUGGGCGUAAAGCGCGUGCAGGUGGCUUGGUAAGUUAGGCGUGAAAUCUCCCGGCUCAACUGGGAGAGGUCGUCUAAUACUACCGGGCUAGAGAGCAGAAGAGGAAGAUGGAAUUCCCGGUGUAGUGGUGAAAUGCGUAGAUAUCGGGAGGAACACCAGUGGCGAAGGCGAUCUUCUGGUCUGUUUCUGACACUCAGACGCGACAGCUAGGGUAGUAAACGGGAUUAGAGACCCCGGUAAUCCUAGCCGUAAACGAUGUGAACUUGGCGUUGGUGGGUUAAACUCCAUCAGUGCCGAAGCAAACGCGAUAAGUUCACCGCCUGGGGACUACGGCCGCAAGGUUA